CAGGCCUAACACAUGCAAGUCGGGCGGUAGCAGGAAGUGCUUGCACUUUGCUGACGAGCGGCGGACGGGUGCGUAACACGUAGGAAUCUGCCUGGUAGUGGGGGAUAGCCCGGAGAAAUCCGGAUUAAUACCGCAUACGCCUUACGAGGGAAAGCAGGGGAUCUUCGGACCUUGCGCUAUCAGAUGAGCCUGCGUCGGAUUAGCUGGUUGGUGGGGUAAAGGCCUACCAAGGCGACGAUCCGUAGCUGGUCUGAGAGGAUGAUCAGCCACACUGGGACUGAGACACGGCCCAGACUCCUACGGGAGGCAGCAGUGGGGAAUAUUGCACAAUGGGCGAAAGCCUGAUGCAGCCAUGCCGCGUGUGUGAAGAAGGCCCUAGGGUUGUAAAGCACUUUCAGCGAGGAGGAAAGGUUAAAGGUUAAUACCCUUUGGCUGUGACGUUACUCGCAGAAGAAGCACCGGCUAACUCCGUGCCAGCAGCCGCGGUAAUACGGAGGGUGCGAGCGUUAAUCGGAAUUACUGGGCGUAAAGCGUGCGUAGGCGGCCUUUUAAGUUGGAUGUGAAAGCCCCGGGCUCAACCCGGGAACUGCAUCCAAAACUGGAAGGCUCGAGUGCGGGAGAGGAGUGUGGAAUUUCCUGUGUAGCGGUG
rnacentral:rRNA from 1 species